AACGAACGCUGGCGGCAUGCCUAACACAUGCAAGUCGAACGAAACCUUCGGGUCUAGUGGCGCACGGGUGCGUAACCCGUGGGAACCUUCCCUUAUGUUCGGAAUAACUCCCCGAAAGGGGUGCUAAUACCGGAUAAUGUCUUCUGACCAAAGAUUUAUCGCCUUUGGAUGGGCCCUCGUUGGAUUAGCUAGUUGUUAUGGUAAAAGCCUACCAAGGCGACGAUCCAUAGCUGGUUUGGGAGGAAGAUCAGCCACACUGGGACUGAGACGCGGCCCAGACUCUUACGGGAAGCAGCAGUGGGGAAUAUUGGAAAAUGGGCGGAAGCAUGAUCCAGCAAUGACGGGUGAGUGAUGAAGGCAUGAGGGUUGUAAAGCGCUUGUAACCGGGAUGAUAAUGACAGUACCGGGAGAAUAAGCUCCGGCUAACUCCGUG
rnacentral:rRNA from 1 species